AGCAAAAAAAUCAACGACCAAAAGCUGUUACAGACAAGCGCGGUGUGUGUGCAAGCGUGUGCGGCUGUGUGCCCGCUCUCGAGUGUCCCCGUGACUAGCGCCCGCCCUCCCUCGCGUCCCCCUCGCGUCCCAGCCAGCCUACUUCUGCUCUGCGGUGCCUCCUUUCCCCCCACGCUCCCCCGACUCCUGCCUCCCACUGCCCAGCCCACGGGCGGACGCUACCCCCUCUCGCGGUCACCCGUGUCCGGACGCACCAUACAUCAUGUCUGCGGCCGGGGGGCCCAGGAGUCCGCCAGCCCCCGCCCUGGGCUCCUGACGAAAUCGUCCUUUUCCGAGGCGGAUGACAGGUUGUGGGAACAACAGCUUGAAUUACGGAAAGAAGUUUCCCCACUGAGUUAAUCUGCAGUGGCUGGAGGUGACCUUCUGGAGACGGCGAUUAAUCACGGGCCGUGCCGGGCGCCGCGCCACGCCAGGCCCUUUGGGGGAAUACUAAUUCCACUACAAGAUAAAUCAUAAUUUGACAAUAAUCAUCUGCCCUAAUCACUCCAAUUCUUCCUUUUAAUUAUUUGUAUACGCCGUGUUUUUCAUUGAGGGCCCUGUGUGCCCGUGGGUGGGGAGGAGAUGGCCCCUCUAUAGCCCUUCAGCCCGCUGGCCCUGCUGGUGUGCUGGGGGAGCCUGACUCGGAGCUGAUAGGGAGAGUGUUGGGGCUCAGAGUUUCCAUAGUAAACACCGGGGAAACUGAGGCACGAUGAGAGGCCUUGCCUAUGGUCUCACAGCAAGCUUAGAGCAGGCCAGGGUGACAUCCAGGCCUCUGAUGUUCAGUCCUAG
rnacentral:lncRNA from 1 species